rnacentral:lncRNA from 10 species
GGAGGGAUCCCCUGCAGCCGCCAGGGCUGGACCGUGUGGUGCGCAGGUGAGAAGCCGGGAGGGCCUGGACAACCCCGACCGCGAGCCGGACCCCUGCUCUGACCGCAGGACACAGUACCUUGAAGAGAAAUUGGAGAGGGAGUCAAUUCCUAGGAUAGCAGAGAGAUGGACAACAGACAGAAUGUGAGUAUUAAAACUGAUGUCAGAUAUCAAAUUGGUUUGUCAGGGUUAUGUUGAUAAUCACAGUACCUAUCAUCUUCCUAAACUUUUCUUGUCUUGAUAAUGUGUAAUAUACGUAAGUGGUGGUGGGAGAGACUAUUGCAGCCACUAGACUUGGUAUAUUCCCAAAUUAUUUUUAUUCAUAAGUAAUUACUAUUUGCCAUUUGUGGCCUUUUGUGCUUUAAUAUUAUCAAGAACAAUAAGAAUGAUAAAAUAUUUAUGAUCAGCAUUGUAAUUGCAAACAGGCCUCAGUAAAAAUUAUACACAACUUGUUUUGAGCGAAUUUCCUUGAAAAGAACCAUGGCUAUAUAGGUGUGAAGAGUAACAUAGCGUAAUAUAUGA